rnacentral:rRNA from 1 species
GACGAACGCUGGCGGCGCGCCUAACACAUGCAAGUCGAACGGAGCUGAGAGAAGCUUGCUUUUCUUAGCUUAGUGGCGAACGGGUGAGUAACGCGUGAGUAACCUGCCCUGGAGUGGGGGACAACAGUUGGAAACGACUGCUAAUACCGCAUAAGCCCACGGUGCUGCAUGGCACUGGGGGAAAAGGAUUUAUUCGCUUCAGGAUGGACUCGCGUCCAAUUAGCUAGUUGGUGAGGUAACGGCCCACCAAGGCGACGAUUGGUAGCCGGACUGAGAGGUUGAACGGCCACAUUGGGACUGAGACACGGCCCAGACUCCUACGGGAGGCAGCAGUGGGGGAUAUUGCACAAUGGGGGAAACCCUGAUGCAGCGACGCCGCGUGGAGGAAGAAGGUUUUCGGAUUGUAAACUCCUGUCGUUAGGGACGAUAAUGACGGUACCUAACAAGAAAGCACCGGCUAACUACGUGCCAGCAGCCGCGGUAAAACGUAGGGUGCAAGCGUUGUCCGGAAUUACUGGGUGUAAAGGGAGCGCAGGCGGACCGGCAAGUUGGAAGUGAAAUCCAUGGGCUCAACCCGUGAAUUGCUUUCAAAACUGCUGGCCUUGAGUAGUGCAGAGGUAGGUGGAAUUCCCGGUGUAGCGGUGGAAUGCGUAGAUAUCGGGAGGAACACCAGUGGCGAAGGCGACCUACUGGGCACCAACUGACGCUGAGGCUCGAAAGCAUGGGUAGCAAACAGGAUUAGAUACCCUGGUAGUCCAUGCCGUAAACGAUGAUUACUAGGUGUUGGAGGAUUGACCCCUUCAGUGCCGCAGUUAACACAAUAAGUAAUCCACCUGGGGAGUACGACCGCAAGGUUGAAACUCAAAGGAAUUGACGGGGGCCCGCACAAGCAGUGGAGUAUGUGGUUUAAUUCGAAGCAACGCGAAGAACCUUACCAGGUCUUGACAUCCGAUGCAUAGUGCAGAGAUGCAUGAAGUCCUUCGGGACAUCGAGACAGGUGGUGCAUGGUUGUCGUCAGCUCGUGUCGUGAGAUGUUGGGUUAAGUCCCGCAACGAGCGCAACCCUUAUUGCCAGUUACUACGCAAGAGGACUCUGGCGAGACUGCCGUUGACAAAACGGAGGAAGGUGGGGAUGACGUCAAAUCAUCAUGCCCUUUAUGACCUGGGCUACACACGUACUACAAUGGCGUUUAACAAAGAGAAGCAAGACCGCGAGGUGGAGCAAAAACUCAGAAACAACGUCUCAGUUCAGAUUGCAGGCUGCAACUCGCCUGCAUGAAAGUCGGAAUUGCUAGUAAUCGCGGAUCAGCAUGCCGCGGUGAAAUACGUUCCCGGGCCU